AUGAACGCUGGCGGCGUGCCUAAUACAUGCAAGUCGAGCGAACGGAUGAGAAGCUUGCUUUUGUGAUGUUAGCGGCGGACGGGUGAGUAACACGUGGAUAACCUACCUAUAAGACUGGGAUAACUUCGGGAAACCGGAGCUAAUACCGGAUAAUAUUUUGAACCGCAUGGUUCAAAAGUGAAAGACGGUCUUGCUGUCACUUAUAGAUGGAUCCGCGCUGCAUUAGCCAGUUGGUAAGGUAACGGCUUACCAAGGCAACGAUGCAUAGCCGACCUGAAAGGGUGAUCGGCCACAUGGGAACAGAGACACGGUCCAGACUCCUGCGGGAGGAAGCAGUAGGGAAUCUUCCGCAAUGGGCGAAAGCCUAACGGAGCGACGCCGCGUAAGUGAUGAAGGUCUUCGGAUCGUAAAACUCUGUUAUUAGGGAAGAACAUAUGUGUAAGUAACUGUGCACAUCUUGACGGUACCUGGUCAGAAAGCCACGGCUAACUACGUG
rnacentral:rRNA from 1 species